rnacentral:rRNA from 1 species
UGAGGAACAUGACCUUCGGCGGGGGAUAGCCGGCCCAACGGCCGGGUAAUACCGCGUACGACCACAUGGGGACAUCCCUGAGUGGUGAAAGCAGCAAUGCGCCGAUGGAGUGCCUCGCGGCCUAUCAGCUAGUUGGUGAGGUAACGGCUCACCAAGGCGACGACGGGUAGCUGGUCUGAGAGGAUGGCCAGCCACAUUGGGACUGAGACCACGGCCCAGACCUCUACGGGGAGG